GAAGCGGCAAGAAGCUCAAAUUUGAAAUCUGGCUCCUUCGGGGUCCGAGUUGUAAUUUGUAGAGGAUGCUUCGGGUGCGGCCCCCGUCUAAGUGCUCUGGAACGGGCCAUCGGAGAGGGUGAAAAUCCCGUCUGGGAUGGGGUGUCCGCGUCCAUGUGAAGCUCCUUCGACGAGUCGAGUUGUUUGGGAAUGCAGCUCUAAAUGGGUGGUAAAUUUCAUCUAAAGCUAAAUACUGGCCGGAGACCGAUAGCGCACAAGUAGAGUGAUCGAAAGAUGAAAAGCACUUUGAAAAGAGAGUUAAACAGCACGUGAAAUUGUUGAAAGGGAAGCGCUUGCGACCAGACUCGCUUCCGGGGUUCAGCCGGCUUUCGGGCCGGUGUACUUCCCCGGGGGCGGGCCAGCGUCGGUUUGGGCGGCCGGUCAAAGGCCCCUGGAAUGUAACGCCUCUCGGGGCGCCUUAUAGUCAGGGGUGUCAUGCGGCCAGCCUGGACCGAGGAACGCGCUUCGGCACGGACGCUGGCAUAAUGGUCGUAAACGACCCGUCUUGAAACACGGACCAAGGAGUCUAACAUCUACGCGAGUGUUCGGGUGUCAAACCCGUGCGCGCAGUGAAAGCGAACGGAGGUGGGAGCCCCCUCGAGGGGCGCACCAUCGACCGAUCCUGAUGUCUUCGGAUGGAUUUGAGUAAGAGCGUAGCUGUGGGGACCCGAAAGAUGGUGAACUAUGCCUGAAUAGGGCGAAGCCAGAGGAAACUCUGGUGGAGGCUCGCAGCGGUUCUGACGUGCAAAUCGAUCGUCAA
rnacentral:rRNA from 1 species